rnacentral:rRNA from 1 species
AGUGAACGCUGGCGGUAGGCCUAACACAUGCAAGUCGAACGGCAGCACAGGAGAGCUUGCUCUCUGGGUGGCGAGUGGCGGACGGGUGAGGAACACAUCGGAAUCUACUUUUUCGUGGGGGAUAACGUAGGGAAACUUACGCUAAUACCGCAUACGACCUACGGGUGAAAGCAGGGGAUCUUCGGACCUUGCGCGAUUGAAUGAGCCGAUGUCGGAUUAGCUAGUUGGCGGGGUAAAGGCCCACCAAGGCGACGAUCCGUAGCUGGUCUGAGAGGAUGAUCAGCCACACUGGGACUGGGACACGGUCCAGACUCCUACGGGAGGCAGCAGUGGGGAAUAUUGGACAAUGGGCGCAAGCCUGAUCCAGCCAUACCGCGUGGGUGAAGAAGGCCUUCGGGUUGUAAAGCCCUUUUGUUGGGAAAGAAAUCCAGCUGGCUAAUACCCGGUUGGGAUGACGGUACCCAAAGAAUAAGCACCGGCUAACUUCGUGCCAGCCGCCGCCGUAA